AACGAACGCUGGCGGCAUGCCUAACACAUGCAAGUCGAACGAGAACUUCGGGUCUAGUGGCGAACGGGUGCGUAACGCGUGGGAACCUGCCCUUAGGUUCGGAAUAACUCCCCGAAAGGGGUGAUAAUACCGGAUCAUGUCUUCGGACCAAAGAUUUAUCGCCUUUGGAUGGGCCCGCGUUGGAUUAGCUAGUUGGUAGGGUAAAAGCCUACCAAGGCGCCGAUCCAUAGCUGGUCUGAGAGGAUGAGCAGCCACACUGGGACUGAGACACGGCCCAGACUCCUACGGGAGGCAGCAGUGGGGAAUAGUGGACAAUGGGCGAAAUCCUGAUCCAGCAAUGCCGCGUGAGUGAUGAAGGCCGUAGGGUUGUAAAGCUCUUUUACCCGGGAUGAUAAUGACAGUACCGGGAGAAUAAGCUCCGGCUAACUCCGUG
rnacentral:rRNA from 1 species